GCGCCCGAGCUGCGAGUGCGCCGGGGGGUGGAGUGCCGCCUUUUAAAGCCGCUCCGCGCCAGGGAAGCGCCGCCGCCGCCACCGCCGCGGGCGGGAGCCAGGGAGGAGGAGGCGGCCGCGGCGCGUUCCCGCCCGCGCGGCCCGGCGGCGCCCCCGGGCCCGCGCUCCUGCGGCCGGGCUCCGGGGCCGAGACCGGUCCGGGAGGCCCGAAACGCCCCCCACCGGGGGAACUUCUCCGCCGACUUUUGGGGCUCUCGGGACGCAGGACCGCCCCAGCGGCGGCCUCGGCCCCGCGAGUUCUGCUGGGAGCGGGGAGGCCCUGGCGUCUCAGAUGGACUGGAUGCUCAUCAGCCCCUGCCAAUGGAGAGACACGAGGCCCUCAUGCAAACUGGCAGCCCUAGAGGAGAACCCACCAUACCUGUUGGACAGAAACAGUACCCAGAACCCUCAGUCUGCCUCUGCCUGACAUGGCCCUGGCUGCCUGGCCAACUGGCCUGUAGAAGAGGGAUAUUGGCCUGAGUCAAGGGGACAGAGUUGGAGGCAUUGCAUUGUCACCUAGCAGCAGUAUGUCUGGGCAACAUGUGUUACCUCUCUUCCCCUUCUCCUGCCGGCCAGAUAUCCCUCAGAUUCAUCCUGGAUCCGGUACUGUUCUUCUUCGAGUAUAUGGCCUGCUUCAAGAUAAUGUACACUGCACAUCAGCUAAAUAAUUAUAAAGCAGCUAGUGUCUCCCAAGACGGAGCCCCCGCAAUGUCAGUGAUUUUGACAGGCAGAGGUGACUGCCACAGAUCGGAGGAUCAUAUCCUCUCAAUACAGCCUCCAGGGAAGAAGCACAGGAGCGACUUUCCAUCUCUUGAAUGUCUUCUUCUCCCUGGGGAAGAAGCACCUAAAUCUCCAGUCCACUUCCUCUCAGGCCCCACCUACCAGAUCUGGGUCACAGCCCUCCCCCCCGCCUGCUGCCAGGUAAUCAUAGACAGGGUGAGCAGGGAGGCUCAGGUUGCUUUCCAUCAGUCUUACCUCUUCUCCUGGGGAACACUCCCUGAGCACAUUGCUGCCCCAGAUUGA
rnacentral:lncRNA from 1 species